CCUUGUGAUGUGUAGACCAUUUUUUGUGAAGGAACUUAAAGGAUUGGAGUUGAAAUGGAGAGUUAAGAAAGCUUGCAUGAAAAAUGGCUAUGGAGUUUCCUCUCACCUCAUUCACGGCAAUGUUGAAUGCAAAUGAGGAAGAUGAAUUAUUCAGCUGAAUUUUAAGUGUACACAUGUCCCACUAUGUGUUUAAUUAAUUCCCUUAGUGGUCCACUAAAAAAUUAAAUCAUUUUAUAAGUUAAACUUUCACUUAAUCCCACAUUAACCCAUGAUUUUAGCUAUUUACUUUAGGUACCACCAAAUUAAUUUUUCAUUUCAUUUUCUAAGUGUAAUAUUAUUUAUUUUUAAUGGACAUU
rnacentral:misc_RNA from 1 species